rnacentral:lncRNA from 1 species
AGGAAAUAAUGAAGCACAUUAAUAAUGUAUUUAUUGUGGUUUAAUAAAAAGCUUAUUAUAUAUUUAGAUGGACCAACUUAUUUCUCUAAGGAUUCUAAGAAUCAUUCUAGUGAUGACAUGUGGCUACAAAAAAAUGUUGCAAUGCUUCUCAAAUAAUAUAUAGGGGAUAUACAAGAUAUGAGCCCGUUGCAACGCAACGGGUUUUGUUUGAUGUUUUAUUUUAAUAAAAACUAUAAAAUAAAAAUUAUUUUAUUAUAGUAUUAUGAUUGUUUUUUGCAUAUGUUUUUUAAGAUUUAUUUUAUAACUAAAACUCAUUUUUACACAUAAGUUCAAGUUAAUAUUUGUUUUUUAUAGUUAUGGUGCAUAGAUGAGUUGUUAUAAAAUUUAUACUAAGAUUAGAGAAAAU